rnacentral:rRNA from 1 species
GAUGAACGCUGGCGGCGUGCCUAAUACAUGCAAGUCGAGCGAAUGGAUUAAGAGCUUGCUCUUAUGAAGUUAGCGGCGGACGGGUGAGUAACACGUGGGUAACCUGCCCAUAAGACUGGGAUAACUCCGGGAAACCGGGGCUAAUACCGGAUAAUAUUUUGAACUGCAUGGUUCAAAAUUGAAAGGCGGCUUCGGCGGUCACUUAUGGAUGUACCCGCGGCGCAUUAGCUAGGUGGUGAGGUAACGGCCCACCAAGGCAACGAUGCGUAGCCGACCUGAGAGGGUGAUCGGCCACACUGGGACUGAGACACGGCCCAGACUCCUACGGGAGGCAGCAGUAGGGAAUCUUCCGCAAUGGACGAAAGUCUGACGGAGCAACGCCGCGUGAGUGAUGAAGGCUUUCGGGUCGUAAAACUCUGUUGUUAGGGAAGAACAAGUGCUAGUUGAAUAAGCUGGCACCUUGACGGUACCUAACCAGAAAGCCACGGCUAACUACGUGCCAGCCGCCGCCGUAA